rnacentral:rRNA from 1 species
GACGAACGCUGGCGGCGUGCUUAACACAUGCAAGUCACGGGGGUCCGCAAGGACAACCGGCGAACGGGUGCGUAACACGUGAGCAACCUACCGAUUUGUGGGGGAUAGCCGGCCCAACGGCCGGGUAAUACCGCAUACGCUUGGUCUGGGACAUCCCGGGCCAAGGAAACCUCCGGGGCAAAUCGAGGGGCUCGCGGCCUAUCAGCUAGUUGGCGAGGUCACGGCUCACCAAGGCGACGACGGGUAGCUGGUCUGAGAGGAUGGCCAGCC